AGCCUUCUGAAUCGGUGCCGAGAUUUCGUUAGACACCAGGUCAUCAGUACUUAUGAGACCCUCAAGAUAAGUGAAGCG
rfam:Schistosoma mansoni strain Puerto Rico chromosome 4, complete genome